rnacentral:misc_RNA from 1 species
GAUGAAGAACGCAGCGAAAUGCGAUAAUUAAUGUGAAUUGCAGAAUUCAGUGAAUCAUCGAGUCUUUGAACGCACAUUGCGCCCCCUGGUAUUCCGGGGGGCAUGCCUGUCCGAGCGUCAUUGCCGCCCUCAAGCACGGCUUGUGUGUUGGGCCCCCGCCCCCCGGCUUCGGGGGGCGGGCCCGAAAGGCAGCGGCGGCACCGCGUCCGGUCCUCGAGCGUAUGGGGCUUCGUCACCCGCUCUGUAGGCCCGGCCGGCGCCCGCCGGCGACCCCAAUCAAUCUUUCCAGGUUGACCUCGGAUCAGGUAGGGAUACCCGCUGAACUUAAGCAUAUCAAUAAGCGGAGGA